GGUUAAGUGACUAAGCGUACACGGUGGAUGCCUGGGCAGUCAGAGGCGAUGAAGGACGUACUAACUUGCGAUAAGCGCAGAUAAGGCAGUAAGAGCCGUUUGAGUCUGCGAUUUCCGAAUGGGGAAACCCAACUGCAUAAGCAGUUACUGUUAACUGAAUACAUAGGUUAACAGAGCAAACCGGGGGAACUGAAACAUCUAAGUACCCCGAGGAGAAGAAAUCAACCGAGAUUCCGGUAGUAGCGGCGAGCGAACCUGGAUUAGCCCUUAAGCACUCGGUGAAGUAGGUGAACAAGCUGGAAAGCUUGGCGAUACAGGGUGAUAGCCCCGUAACCGACGCUUCAUCGAGCGUGAAAUCGAGUAGGGCGGGACACGUGAUAUCCUGUCUGAAUAUGGGGGGACCAUCCUCCAAGGCUAAAUACUCCUGACUGACCGAUAGUGAACCAGUACCGUGAGGGAAAGGCGAAAAGAACCCCUGUGAGGGGAGUGAAAUAGAACCUGAAACCGUGUACGUACAAGCAGUAGGAGCACCUUCGUGGUGUGACUGCGUACCUUUUGUAUAAUGGGUCAGCGACUUAUAUUCAGUGGCAAGGUUAACCGUAUAGGGGAGCCGUAGCGAAAGCGAGUCUUAACUGGGCGCUCAGUCUCUGGAUAUAGACCCGAAACCGGGUGAUCUAGCCAUGGGCAGGUUGAAGGUUGAGUAACAUCAACUGGAGGACCGAACCGACUAAUGUUGAAAAAUUAGCGGAUGACUUGUGGCUAGGGGUGAAAGGCCAAUCAAACUCGGAGAUAGCUGGUUCUCCCCGAAAGCUAUUUAGGUAGCGCCUCGGACGAAUACUACUGGGGGUAGAGCACUGUUAAGGCUAGGGGGUCAUCCCGACUUACCAACCCUUUGCAAACUCCGAAUACCAGUAAGUACUAUCCGGGAGACACACGGCGGGUGCUAACGUCCGUCGUGGAGAGGGAAACAACCCAGACCGCCAGCUAAGGUCCCAAAGUAUUGCUAAGUGGGAAACGAUGUGGGAAGGCUCAGACAGCUAGGAUGUUGGCUUAGAAGCAGCCAUCAUUUAAAGAAAGCGUAAUAGCUCACUAGUCGAGUCGGCCUGCGCGGAAGAUGUAACGGGGCUAAGCAAUACACCGAAGCUGCGGCAAUAUCUUUUAGAUAUUGGGUAGGGGAGCGUUCUGUAAGCCGUUGAAGGUGAAUCGUAAGGUUUGCUGGAGGUAUCAGAAGUGCGAA
rnacentral:rRNA from 1 species